AUGGUCGGGCAAACGAGGAAUAAGCUCAGAGGUGCGGCUUCAGAGCCGUCGCACUCUCUCCGCUCCACGCAGUCUAGACGGCGGCGCCGGGCCACAGGAACUGGGGAGCGGGAGUUGGAGGAGGAGCCGAAGAAGGAGGUGAAAAGGCCGGAGCUGCCUUUGCGCACACGCAGGAGGAACCUGCCAGGGGGCGCCCGGAAUUAUUCGCCGCGGAGGAUCCGAAACCUGAAAACGCAGAACUGCGUGCCAGUGGAGAUGGUCACAAGGCCCGAUUUUCUGAACGGCCGCUUUCCGUUUCUCAGCUCUUUGCUGGAGCAGCUCUGGGACAAGGCUCAAGUAUUGCAAAGACGUCAGGUCUCGGGCAGGGGGGCCAUCGGCAUAGCUGCCUUUGUGGCAAUUUUGCACUGGGUACAUUUGGUAAGACUUUUUGAAAAUGAUCGUCAUUUUUCUCACCUCUCAGCCUUAGAACGGGAGAUGACUUUUCGCACUGAAAUGGGACUUUAUUAUUCCUACUUCAAGACCAUUGUUGAAGCACCUUCAUUUUUGCAAGGACUAUGGAUGAUUAUGAAUGACAGGCUCACUGAAUAUCCCCUUGUAAUUAAUACAGUGAAACGCUUCCAUCUUUAUCCAGAGGUGAUUUUAGCCUUCUGCUAUCGCACACUUGUGGGAAUAAUGAAUUUAUUUGGGUUAGAAACUAAGACCUGCUGGAACGUGACCAGAAUAGAACCUCUAAAUGAAGUUCAAAGCUGUGAAGGAUUGGGAGACCCUGCUUGCUUUUAUGUUGGUGUGAUUUUUAUUUUAAAUGGAAUAAUGAUGGGAUUGUUCUUCAUGUAUGGUGCUUACCUGAGUGGGACUCAACUUGGAGGUAUAAUUACAGUCGUAUGCUACUUUUUCAACCAUGGAGAGGCUACUCGGGUGAUGUGGACACCACCUCUCCGGGAAAGUUUUUCAUAUCCAUUUCUUGUACUUCAGAUGUACAUCUUAACUGUGAUUCUCAGGACAACGAACAAUAGUAGAAGGCACUUUAUUGCACUCUGCCUUUCCAAUGUUGCUUUUAUGCUUCCCUGGCAAUUUGCUCAGUUUAUACUUUUUACACAGAUAGCCUCAUUAUUUCCUAUGUAUAUUGUGGGGUACAUUGAGCCAAACAAGUUUCAAAAGAUAAUUCAUGCGAACAUGAUUUCAGUUUUCCUUUGUUUUGUAUUCAUGUUUGGAAAUCCAAUGUAUUUAUCUUCUUACUAUUCUUCAUCUCUGGUAAUAACGUUGGUGAUAAUUCUAAAGAGAAAUAAAAUUCAAAGAUUUGGAGUAUCUGAACUCCACUUUUGGGUAAUUCAAGGUAGUGCUUGGUUUUUUGGAACAAUCACUUUGAAAUUUCUGACGUCUAAAAUUUUAGGUGUUUCAGACCAUAUUCGCCUGAGUGACCUUAUUGCCGCCAGAAUCUUAAGAUAUACAGAUUUUGAUACCUUAAUUUACACCUGUGCUCCUGAAUUUGACUUCAUGGAAAAAGCGACGCCAGUGCGAUACUUAAAGACAUUGUUGCUUCCAACUAUUGUGGUGAUUACUUAUUUUAUCUUUAAAAAGGCUAUUCGUGAUAUUCAGUGUGUCUUAUGUGCAAACACUUAUCUAAGAAAACAGCUCCUUGAACAUGGUGAGAUAAUUUUUCACACAUUGCAGUUGUUUGCAUUUACUCCCCUUGCCAUUUUAAUUAUGAGGCUGAAGCUCUUUUUGACACCUCACAUGUGUGUUAUGGCUUCCCUGAUAUGUUCUCGGCGGCUCUUUGGCUGGCUUUUUUUCAGAGUUCGUUUUAUGCCUCUUAUCCUCAGUCUUGUAUCAAUAAUGUCAAUACAAGGUUAUGCAAACCUCCAUAAUCAAUGGAGCAUAAUAGGAGAAUUUAAUAAUUUGCCCCAGGAAGAACUGAUACAGUGGAUCAAAUACAAUACCAGGCCAGAUGCUGUUUUUGCUGGUGCCAUGCCUACGAUGGCAAGUGUCAAGCUUUCCACUCUUCACCCCAUUGUGAAUCACCCACAUUAUGAGGAUGCUGACUUGAGGCCCGGUUGCAGUAUGCUUGAAAUUUGGGAUGUGGAAGACCCUUCUAACUCAGCUAACCCUCCCUUAUGUAGCAUCUUGCUAAAGGAUGCGAGGCCAUACUUCACCACAGUGUUUCAGAAUAGUAUGUACAGAGUGUUAAAAGUUAAUUGA
rnacentral:lncRNA from 1 species